GAUGCAACGCGAAAAACCUUACCCACCUUUGACAUGUACGGAAUUCCGCAGAGAUGUGGAAGUGCUCGAAAGAGAACCGUAACACAGGUGCUGCAUGGCUGUCGUCAGCUCGUGUCGUGAGAUGUUGGGUUAAGUCCCGCAACGAGCGCAACCCUUGCCAUUAGUUGCUACGAAAGGGCACUCUAAUGGGACUGCCGGUGACAAACCGGAGGAAGGUGGGGAUGACGUCAAGUCCUCAUGGCCCUUAUAGGUGGGGCUACACACGUCAUACAAUGGCUGGUACAGAGGGUUGCCAACCCGCGAGGGGGAGCCAAUCCCAUAAAACCAGUCGUAGUCCGGAUCGCAGUCUGCAACUCGACUGCGUGAAGUCGGAAUCGCUAGUAAUCGCGGAUCAGAAUGUCGCGGUGAAUACGUUCCCGGGUCUUGUACACACCGCCCGUCACACCAUGGGAGCGGGUUCUGCCAGAAGUAGUUAGCCUAACCGCAAGGAGGGCGAUUACCACGGCAGGGUUCGUGACUGGGGUG
rnacentral:rRNA from 1 species